rnacentral:lncRNA from 1 species
UUGUUUUAAUAAACUAAUAAACAAUCACAGUAGCAUUAAUAGUUACAAAAAAUAUAUGACCAACAUCACUGCUGACAAUGAAAAAUACACACUGUCGUCAUGUUUCACUUCUUUUUCGAGUCACAUAAAUAAUAAUAACAAUUUAAUAAAUGUAAUAAUACACACAUAUAAUGAAGUGAUUAUAUCAUAUAUGUAUAAAAAUAUAAUAAACAUCGACUCAACUAAAAAGUGUUACGAUAUUCUUAACUUAACUAAAUUUUUAGUAUUGAAUAAUUAUCAAUAUAUAUACAUAUAUAAAGAUAUAUGUUUGAACAUUAUAAAAUACACGAAGACUAUGAAUUUUUGUUACUUAAAAAAUAUAAUAAAAGCUGACUUGUUAAUACAUAUUUUAAACGUUUUUAAUUAUAUACUUUAUAUUCUUUACAAAUACAUUAACCAAAAUAAAAUCAAAAUGUACAACGACGUGCAGUAUACAAAUCGAAUAAAUAAAUUGUUGUUCCAAGGUUAUGUAUGUAUUAAUAUGGAAGAGUUGCAAAAAGGAGCAAACAAAAAUUUGUAUAAAACUAGAAACAAAUCACAAAAAAAGAAAAAAGACAACUCCAUUAGUCAAACUGGUGAAGUACAAAAUGUACAAAAAAGUAUACUACAAUAUAAUAAUACAAAGAGACUAGAUGAUAACAUACACAAAAAAAAAAAAAACAAAAAAAAAAACAAUAACAUUCUACAUAAGAACAAAGUUAGUGCAAAAAAAAAAAAAUUAUGUUUUUACAAUUUUUUGCUAUUUAAGUUUUACUUUUCUGACCUUUUAAAUGAAAACUUUUUUGAUAUAACAAAAUGUCACAGAAAAAAAAAAAUAAUUUCAAACAAAAUAAAAAAACAUAUGAAACAUAUUAUUACAGAGUUAAAAGAAAAAAUGAACUAUGAGAAUGUUGUUAAUGUAUUAGUAAAUGAUAAUUUUUAUUUUUUGCAAAAAGAUAAUAAACAAAAAGGAAGUUACGACAAGCAACAUUAUAGCCAACAAGAGCAAACAAAUUUAUUACAAAAAAAUUCAUAUGACGCUGUAAAUAAUAAUGAAUUAAAUGGGUACUCGAUUGUUAGAUAUACCACAUCACACAUUUUUAACUAUGUGAAAAGACACCUUUGUCACAAUAAGUAAGUUAACAAGACGUGAAGAAGUAGUACUAUAAAUAAUAGUAUAAGUGCAAACUGUAAUAAUUAUAAAUACAUAAAGUAUU